GGUUCGAUUAUGGCUCAGAUUGAACGCUGGCGGGAUGUUUUUACACAUGCAAGUCGAACGGCAGCACGGACUUCGGUCUGGUGGCGAGUGGCGAACGGGUGAGUAAUGUAUCGGAACGUGCCUAGUAGCGGGGAUAACUACGCGAAAGCGUAGCUAAUACCGCAUACGCCCUUCGGGGGAAAGCGUGGGGACCUUUCGGGCCUCGCACUAUUAGAGCGGCCGAUAUCGGAUUAGCUAGUUGGUGGGGUAACGGCUCACCAAGGCGACGAUCCGGUAGCUGGUUUGAGGACGACCAGCCACACUGGGACUGAGACACGGCCCAGACUCCUACGGGAGGCAGCAGUGGGGAAUUUUGGACAAUGGGGGAAACCCUGAUCCAGCCAUCCCGCGUGUGCGAUGAAGGCCUUCGGGUUGUAAAGCACUUUUGGCAGGAAAGAAACGGCACGGAUAAUACCCCGUGCAACUGACGGUACCUGCAGAAUAAGCACCGGCUAACUACGUGCCAGCAGCUGCGGUAAUACGUAGGGUGCAAGCGUUAAUCGGAAUUACUGGGCGUAAAGCGCGCAGGCGGUUCGGAAAGAAAGAUGAAAUCCCAGAGCUUAACUUUGGAACUGCAUUUUUAACUACCGAGCUAGAGUGUGUCAGAGGGAGGUGGAAUUCGCGUGUAGCAGUGAAAUGCGUAGAUAUGCGGAGGAACACCGAUGGCGAAGGCAGCCUCCUGGGAUAACACUGACGCUCAUGCACGAAAGCGUGGGGAGCAAACAGGAUUAGAUACCCUGGUAGUCCACGCCCUAAACGAUGUCAACUAGCUGUUGGGGCCUGGCCUUGGUAGCGCAGCUAACGCGUGAAGUUGACCGCCUGGGGAGUACGGUCGCAAGAUUAAAAACUCAAAGGAAUUGACGGGGACCCGCACAAGCGGUGGAUGAUGUGGAUUAAUUGAUGCAACGCGAAAAACCUUACCUACCCUUGACAUGUCUGGAAUCCCGAAGAGAUUUGGGAGUGCUCGCAAGAGAACCGAACACAGGUGCUGCAUGGCUGUCGUCAGCUCGUGUUUUGAUGUUGGUUGAAGUCCCAAACGAAGCAACCUGUCACAUGCUACGAAAAAGGGCAUCCUAUACGAGACUGCCGAACCAACAGAUAUGGAUGACGUGUCGUUCUCAUGGCCCUUAUGGGUAGGGCUUCACACGUCAUACAAUGGUCGGGACAGAGGGUCGCCAACCCGCGAGGGGGAGCCAAUCCCAGAAACCCGAUCGUAGCUUGUCCGGAUCGCAGUCUGCAACUCGACUGCGUGAAGUCGGAAUCGCUAGUAAUCGCGGAUCAGCAUGUCGCGGUGAAUACGUUCCCGGCCUUGUACACACCGCCCGUCACACCAUGGAGUGGGUUUUACCAGAAGUAGUUAGCCUAACCGUGGGCGAGGGCGAUUACCACGGUAGGAUUCAUGACUGGGGUGAAGUCGUAACAAGGUAG
rnacentral:rRNA from 1 species